AGAGUUUGAUCCUGGCUCAGAUUGAACGCUGGCGGCAUGCUUUACACAUGCAAGUCGAGCGGCAGCGCGGGGGCAACCCUGGCGGCGAGCGGCGAACGGGUGAGUAAUGCAUCGGAACGUGUCCGGGAGUGGGGGAUAACCCGCCGAAAGGCGGGCUAAUACCGCAUAUGCUCUACGGAGGAAAGGGGGGGACCGCAAGGCCUCCUGCUCUCGGAGCGGCCGAUGUCCGAUUAGCUAGUUGGUGGGGUAAUGGCUUACCAAGGCGACGAUCGGUAGCUGGUCUGAGAGGAUGAUCAGCCACACUGGGACUGAGACACGGCCCAGACUCCUACGGGAGGCAGCAGUGGGGAAUUUUGGACAAUGGGGGCAACCCUGAUCCAGCCAUGCCGCGUGCGGGAAGAAGGCCUUCGGGUUGUAAACCGCUUUUAGCCGGGAAGAAAAGGCGGCUCCUAAUACGGGCUGUUCUUGACGGUACCGGCGGAAUAAGCACCGGCUAACUACGUGCCAGCAGCCGCGGUAAUACGUAGGGUGCGAGCGUUAAUCGGAAUUACUGGGCGUAAAGCGUGCGCAGGCGGGUUCGUUAAGUCUGAUGNGANANCCCCGGGCUCAACCUGGGAAUGGCAUUNNAUNCUGGCGGGCUGGA
rnacentral:rRNA from 1 species